UACGUAGGCAGCAAGCGUUGUUCGGAAUUACUGGGCGUAAAGAGUGUGUAGGCGGUUUUCUAAGUUCCGUGUGAAAUCUCCCGGCUUAACUGGGAGGGUGCGCGGAAGACUGGAGGGCUGGAGUAUGGGAGAGGAAAGCGGAAUUCCUGGUGUAGCAGUGAAAUGCGUAGAUAUCAGGAGGAACACCUGCGGUGAAGACAGCUUUCUGGACCAUCACUGACGCUGAGACACGAAAGCGUGGGUAGCAAACAGG
rnacentral:rRNA from 1 species